CCGCAUGAUCCGCGAUGCCUCAAGGCAUCCCGGGAAAUGGUAGCUUCGGCCUCCGCCUUGGGAUGGGCCCGCGCCGCAUUAGCUUGUUGGUGAGGUAACGGCUCACCAAGGCGACGAUGCGUAGCUGGUCUGAGAGGACGAUCAGCCACACUGGGACUGAGACACGGCCCAGACUCCUACGGGAGGCAGCAGUGGGGAAUCUUGCGCAAUGGGCGGAAGCCUGACGCAGCAACGCCGCGUGAGGGAAGAAGGCCUUCGGGUUGUAAACCUCUUUCAGGGGGGACGAAGCUUCCGGGGUGAACAGCCCACGGGGUGACGGUACCCCCAGAAGAAGCCCCGGCUAACUACGUGCCAGCAGCCGCGGUAAUACGUAGGGGGCGAGCGUUGUCCGGAAUCAUUGGGCGUAAAGCGCGUGUAGGCGGCUUGGUAAGUCCGGUGUGAAAACUUGGGGCUCAACCCCAAGCCUGCACUGGAUACUGCCUCGCUUGAGUCCGGGAGGGGAGAGCGGAAUUCCUAGUGUAGCGGUGAAAUGCGCAGAUAUUAGGAAGAACACCGGUGGCGAAGGCGGCUCUCUGGAACGGUACUGACGCUGAGACGCG
rnacentral:rRNA from 1 species